rnacentral:rRNA from 1 species
UAGGGAAUCUUCGGCAAUGGACGAAAGUCUGACCGAGCAACGCCGCGUGAGUGAAGAAGGUUUUCGGAUCGUAAAACUCUGUUGUUAGAGAAGAACAAGGACGUUAGUAACUGAACGUCCCCUGACGGUAUCUAACCAGAAAGCCACGGCUAACUACGUGCCAGCAGCCGCGGUAAUACGUAGGUGGCAAGCGUUGUCGGGAUGUAUUGGGCGUAAAGCGAGCGCAGGCGGUUUCUUAAGUCUGAUGUGAAAGCCCCCGGCUCAACCGGGGAGGGUCAUUGGAAACUGGGAGACUUGGGUGCAGAAGAGGAGAGUGGAAUUCCAUGUGUAGCGGUGAAAUGCGUAGAUAUAUGGGGGAACACCAGUGGCGAAGGCGGCUCUCUGGUCUGUAACUGCCGCUGAGGCUCGAAAGCGUGGGGAGCAAACAGG